rnacentral:snRNA from 1 species
NNNNNGUACCAUAAUCAAAAACAUGGUUUUCCCAGAGCAAGGCUAAUCGAUUGCAUUUCAGAUGUGCUGACCACUGUGAUUUCCCCAAAUGUGGGAAACUCAA